UACCCCAAGCAUCGUCGGAUAAAAUGAAAAAAAUAUUUUGGACACUGUCUGAUCUCUCCUGUUCUCCCUGUCAGUCGAGAGAAGUGCACCUUUGAUAAGUCAUUUGGCCAAUGAUGGAUUGGCCAAGGCCAACUCACUGACAGAGAUUCAGAUAUCAAAAAGAGUAGGGAGACCCGCCAACGACCCAUUGUCGGUUGAGGUAGCUAGCACCUUUCCUCGCUCUGCAGUCGGCGGUCAUUUGCUUGAAAUUGUCAUAAAAUCAGUGCUCAACUGUGCCCAAGAUCGAGCUACUUGCAGAAUAGC
rnacentral:lncRNA from 1 species